rnacentral:rRNA from 1 species
UACGUAGGGGGCAAGCGUUGUCCGGAAUCAUUGGGCGUAAAGAGCGUGUAGGCGGCUCGAUAAGUCUGCUGUGAAAGUCCAGGGCUCAACCCUGGAAGGCCGGUGGAAACUGUCGGGCUAGAGUCCGGAAGAGGCGAGUGGAAUUCCCGGUGUAGCGGUGAAAUGCGUAGAGAUCGGGAGGAACACCAGAGGCGAAAGCGGCGACCUGGACAGGCACUGACACUCAACUACGAAAGCGUGGGGAGCAAACAGG